ensembl:lncRNA
GUAAUUCAAGCAUGCCAUGGGGUUUUGCCAGCCCUCAGACUCCCACAACUGAGUGUUCUUGUGCUAUUUACGUAGCUGAGUUCUGUCCAGGGGAAGUCCAUGAUAGCCUAUCAACAACUUUCCAAACUGUAUUCUCUUCAAACGGUCUGAUAAUCUCGGGUGACCUAUUUCCCUUUUCUGUUCAUGGAAAACUCAGACCCAAAGCAGCAGGUCUGGGCAAUUGACAGAGAUGAGUAGAAGUUUUGACCUCUCGCUCAGUGCCUCUUGUUCUCUUUACUUUGAAAACUACCAUAGCCUGACUCAAAAUUUAUUCUGGAGGGCUGUGUGAUUGUGUGUGCGUGCGUGUGUGUGUAAAAAGUCACAUCGUGGUGCAUGGGGUGCAAGCCCCCGGGCACACAGAUUUUGAGCUGUAAUCUGGAUGGUGCUCCGGUCAGCAGGAAAAGCCCCGCUUUUCUGAUUUUAGAAACAACGUAAGCAUGGUGUGUGCUCUGGCAGAUGUAGGACUGUACUGUAGUCAUCCUCAUCUCACCUCAUUUGGAUGGCCUUUCAGAUUCCGAAUGUUUGGGAUCAUUCCUAACAUUUCAGGCUCUUUACCUAGCAUUCUCCUGCUUCUGUACCUGUAUCCCAGCUGGCAUUUCCUCUUUCUUGUUUUGGGAACUACCAAGAGCCCCAAGGAUAGUCUGAGGAUGACCACCCAGGCUCUGGGGUCCCCCCUCCUGCUAAAAGGCCCCAGACAGAUGCCGUCAGAUAGACCUGAAGUUGCUGAGAGUAGCAGCUCACAGACAUCUUCAUUUGUUCCAGCUGAGGAUUUCAGUUCUGAAGUGAUCUAGCCAUGCACCCGCCCUGGCCAUCCUCACACAGAGCAAGGCCCUGUGGUCAGCCCUCAUGGGGAAGUGGGGGCCACCUGGAGCUGAUUUCCAUCUGUGUCCUGCACUCCCAGCCAACACGCUGUAUGGAAACAGUCGUCAUUUCCUCAGUGAUGGUGUGGUCUUAUAGUGAUGGUUGUAGUGGUGAAUGGCUAGUGUUGUUUUUCAAUUUUGUUUUGCUUUUUGAUGGUAGAUGAGAUGAAAUCUUAGCUCUUUCUUUCAGCACCAAUCCAACUUAAGAGCAUCUUGGAUUCAUUUUCCCUUCCAAACUAAAAGAUCAAGGCAUGUAUUAGGCAUAAAUUUAUUUACAGCCUCAACUCAUCCAGGGGCCGUAUUAGAAUGAAAACUUGCCUGCCACCAGAGCAGGCAGCUGCACACUCCUAACCCUUCUCCAGGGCUUGGGGUCCCUGGAUGCCAUGGAAGGCUAUUGCAAGAUGCUUCUGUAUUUUAAUAGCCUGGAAGUGGAGGGUGACUGGGCCUGGCUCCUGCUGUGAAAAGAGAACCAGCCUCAUUUUCUCAGUGCCCCAGAGAUCUGGGGCAGAAUUUCUAAACUGGAAUCAGCCCUCAUCGGCUUGAAGAUGCCCCAAGAGGUGUGUGACUAGGGCCACCAUCUGUGUCCUCACAGCAGCACUAGCGGCGGCCUCCGGUACCCGGGGCUUAACUCGAGCUGAUGACUCAGUCUGGAAGCUGGGCAACUAACUGGCCCUGAAAUGUUUCCCCAUCAGUAAGUCCACAGGGAAUUGUUUGGUUUUUAUGUUCUAUUGGAAUUUGGUUUGCUUGGCAUAGCUUAAGGUGCCUUUUCUUUUUUCCUUUCUACUUUGUUUUGUAGGACUUGUUGUAAAGGUAGAAAACAAGUCCCCAAAGCCCCUCCCACUGACUGUUAACCUUUGCCCAGGCAAUCCCAAACUUUUAUGCUCACAUUUUAUUAAAUAAAGCAGGUGCUCCCUGGAAUCUCUGGGACCUUUUUGAGGCAUUUGAAGCAGAAUAUAAAGAGUGGUCUCAUCUCCUUCCUUAAUCUUCCUGCUGGUUGGGAUGUUCCACUUGUAUCAUAGAUUUUUUAUUAUUGAUGUGCUCCGCUGUUUUUAAAUGUGAACUUGUGCGCAAAUGUGCAGAUUCAA